rnacentral:rRNA from 1 species
ACUCCUACGGGAGGCAGCAGUGGGGAAUCUUAGACAAUGGGCGCAAGCCUGAUCUAGCCAUGCCGCGUGAGUGACGAAGGCCUUAGGGUCGUAAAGCUCUUUCGCCAGAGAUGAUAAUGACAGUAUCUGGUAAAGAAACCCGGCUAACUCCGUGCCAGCAGCCGCGGUAAUACGGAGGGGGUUAGCGUUGUUCGGAAUUACUGGGCGUAAAGCGCACGUAGGCGGAUUGGAAAGUUGGGGGUGAAAUCCCAGGGCUCAACCCUGGAACUGCCUCCAAAACUCCCAGUCUGGAGUUCGAGAGAGGUGAGUGGAAUUCCGAGUGUAGAGGUGAAAUUCGUAGAUAUUCGGAGGAACACCAGUGGCGAAGGCGGCUCACUGGCUCGAUACUGACGCUGAGGUGCGAAAGUGUGGGGAGCAAACAGGAUUAGAUACCCUGGUAGGACAGUG